rnacentral:tRNA from 1 species
AUUUAUAUAGUUUAUUAAAAACAUUAUAUUUUCAAUAUAAAAAUAGAACUAUUAUCUUAUAAAUA